rnacentral:lncRNA from 1 species
ACGACCAUCGCGGCCGCGACACCAACCAGACCACCAUGCGCCAUACCCAACGGAAACUAGGCCACUGCGGCUACCUCUCGAGCUCGCUAUCGCCAGCGUUCAUGGAAGGGCUGGGAAGGACCCCCAUGCCAUGUGGAUCGUGCGCGGGCAGCUAAUCAGGCUCGGGGAGUCGGAGGUCGGCGACAAUUCCUCACCAAGAAAUCAGCGCCGCCGUAGAUCCGCCGAGAGCUGAGGCCAGCAACCUCUGUGUGCAAGAUUCUCGGUAAUCUUCCCCUCCGUAUGGUCGCAGAUGUCUCCUCUUCGCGUAGCUGCGGUCCAAUUUAUGUGGGCGUGCGUGUGUGCCCAACGUGCAUCGCUCCGGCGAGGCCCCGUCUCUACGACCUCUGCACCGCCGUCAUAGGUGUCGGGGUUGGGGAAGAGUGGGGCGACCGUGGAUCUUCGGUUGUGCGAUUCAGAUUAGAUGUGGGCAGAUCCGUUAAACGAUGGGGUGGAGUAGAUCAGGCCAGCACUAAAUCCCGGGCAUAGAUCUUGAAUCCUACAGUGGCUGUCUUAUAUCGAGUUGAGCUUAGAUCUGGACUGCGGAUGUCCGAUCGAACAACGCUGAUCAGACGAAGUCUACCGGUUCGCCUAGAUCUAAUCAGUGCCCUAAAUUCUAGAUCGGGCGGCUGAGAUAAACCAGUACCCCUUUAGCUCGGCCAGUUUGCUAAAGAGCCCCUGUGGAAAUUGUGAAUUAACCCGCAGUCCAUCCCUAUAUUAGGAUCGUUACAUAAUUGUCCAAACAUUUGUAAAAGUAACCUUGCGCUCUUAUAAAAUUGUGGCCGCAACCCACUGGUCUCGGUUAGUUGGUAAUAAUUAAUUUAAAAAAGAUAUUUGAUAUAGAAAUAAAUCUAGAAAUCUAUAAAAUUCAUGAUUCCUUUAUUUUAACUCCAAUUUAAUUCAUUCCAGUUGCAUUAAAUUUAUAAUAACAUUGUUUAUCAUCUGGUAACCUUAGUUUGUUAUGAAACCUAGAUAAAAAAUGCACUUAGUUUCUUUCAUAUCCAACACUUAAAUCUUCAGAAAACCAUAACUCUUUAACCGUAACUCUAAAUUUAGUGGUUCUCGAACCUAGGUUCUCGCUACAACGCAUAGAUCAUUAUUAUGCAGUUUGUUCUUAUGUUUAGUGUGAUGUUAAUUUUGCCUAUACCAUGUUUGUUUGUAUUGCUACGAAUAGCAGCAUGGUUGCAAAUCACUUGAAGACCAACUGAGUACCUGGGAGUCUCGAGUCUAAGGCAAGUUGUGCCCUUGAUCACUCUUCUUUACCUAAUAAUGUUCUGGUUAAUCACUGUGACAUGCUCAGGUUAAUUUGGUGGGACCUAAUAGGUUUCCCAAGCCUUGCAAACAUAUGAACUAUUGGGUAGAUUUGGUUUUGCUCUACCUGGUUUUGGGAAAUUAAUGUUAUACUGUGAUCAUGUUCCAAUUAUAUUGUUGUUUAAUUAUUGUUCAUGAAAAGAUUAUUGUGUCAAUUGGAACAUGGAGCUUAACUUGAGAUCACAGUGCUACCACAAGGGUGGAACUAGUGGAACUUUGGAAAGGCCUCGUUGUGCUACCCUGCCUCUCUUCCUCGCUAGAGGUGUAUGGGGUUUGAUCAACCCCGUGGAAAAUGGGUAACACGACUUGUGGGUAAAGAUGUGUAACCUCUAUAGAGUGUAAAACUGGUAUAUCUGUCGUGCUCACGGUCAAGAGCGACUCAUGACUCUCUCAUGAUUAAUUUAUGGAACUAAACUUAAUCUAUCAUAUGCAUUGCAUCACGAGUGUUAUUAUCAAUUGUGAUAUCUUAUUUAGUUGGGUUGGUAUCUACUUAUACCUAGUAACUGUUAAUAAAAUUUUGACCAACUUUAAAAGCAAUGCUCAGCUUUAACCAUCUCCUUUUGUAAGCCUUACACUUCACAUGAGCUCCCACCCUUGGUGAGUUCAUGAACAUUAUUCCCCGCAACUUGUUGAGCAAUGAACGUAUGUGAGCUCACCCUUGCUAUACUCACAUCCCCCCAGGUCAAGAACAGGUACCACUGGACGAGGCACAUGAAGGAUGCUGUGAUGAGUUCGUGAGUGGUCUAGGCUGUCGUCUCGCAGUCAACUUUGGGUUGCUGGAUCGUUGUCUUCGUAUGAUGUAAUUAUUUAACUAUUUUGUACAGAACUCCAUUAUAUAUUAAAGAUGUGACAUUCAUUUCUGUACCGUGAAUCAUCAUAUGUGUGAG